GACGAACGCUGGCGGCGUGCUUAACACAUGCAAGUCGAACGGAAAGGCCCCUAUGUUGGUACUCUAGCGGCGACGGCGUGAGUAUCACGUGAGUGACCUGCCCUUAACUUCGGGAUUACUUCAGGAUACUGGAGCCGAUACCGAAUAGGAAUAAUUGCUGCAUGCUCGGGGUUCGAUAGCGUCGGCGGUUUUUGCUGGACUGGCGGGUUAUAAGCUUGCUGGUGGGGUAGUGGCUUACCAAGGCGUCGUCGGGUAGCCGGCCUGAGUGGGCGACCGGCCAUCUUGGGACCUAGAGACGGCACAGACUCGGACGGUAGGCAGCAGGGGGGAAUAUUGCAGGAGGGGCGGAGGGCUGAUGAAGAAAGGCCGCGUGCGGGAAGACGGCCUUCGGGUUGUAGAACGCUUUCAGCAGGAGCGAAGCUUGUGGUGACGGUACCUGCAGAAGAAGCACCGGCUAACUACGUG
rnacentral:rRNA from 1 species